rnacentral:rRNA from 1 species
CUGGCGGCGUGCCUAACACAUGCAAGUCGAACGAAGCAUCUUGCCCGACAAAGAGGAGUGCUUGCACAACUUGGAGUCAACUGAGAUGACUUAGUGGCGGACGGGUGAGUAACGCGUGGGUAACCUGCCGUAUGCAGGGGGAUAACAGUUAGAAAUGACUGCUAAUACCGCAUAAGCGCACAGCAUCGCAUGGUGCAGUGUGAAAAGCCUUAACGGCAUACGAUGGACCCGCGUCUGAUUAGCCAGUUGGCAGGGUAACGGCCUACCAAAGCGACGAUCAGUAGCCGGCCUGAGAGGGUGAACGGCCACAUUGGGACUGAGACACGGCCCAAACUCCUACGGGAGGCAGCAGUGGGGGAUAUUGCACAAUGGGGGAAACCCUGAUGCAGCGAACCGCCGCGUGAGUGAUGAAGUAUUUCGGUAUGUAAAGCUCUAUCAGCAGGGAAGAAAAUGACGGUACCUGACUAAGAAGCUCCGGCUAAAUACGUGCCAGCAGCCGC